AACGCACAUUGCGCCCCCUGGUAUUCCGGGGGGCAUGCCUGUUCGAGCGUCAUUAACAACCCUCAAGCUCUGCUUGGUAUUGGGCCCCGCCGACCCGGCGAGCCCUAAAAUCAGUGGCGGUGCCAUCCGGUUCCGAGCGUAGUAAUUCUUCUCGCUUUGGAGGCCGGGUGUGUGCUUGCCAGCAACCCCCAAUUUUUUUUAAGUUUGACCUCGGAUCAGGUAGGGAUACCCGCUGAACUUAA
rnacentral:misc_RNA from 1 species